rnacentral:misc_RNA from 1 species
AAGUCGUAACAAGGUCUCCGUAGGUGAACCUGUAAGUUGACGUCCUAACUCUACAUCUAUGAAUAAAUGCUAACGAAUCCACAGGCGGAGGGAUCAUUAUCGAGCGAGGGCCCCUGGUCCGACCUCCAACCCUUUGUGAUUAGGACCGUGUUGCCUCGAGGGCGACCCGGACGCUUCGGCGUCGGGCCCCUCGGUGGACCCCCAUCAACUCUGCAUCUUUACGUCGGAUUAUACAAGUUUAAAUCAUUAAAA